UCCCAGACUCCUACGGGAGGCAGCAGUGAGGAAUAUUGGUCAAUGGGCGGAAGCCUGAACCAGCCAAGUCGCGUGAGGGACUAAGGCCCUGCGGGUCGUAAACCUCUUUUGCCGGGGAGCAGUGGUCCGGACGCGUCCGGACCGGGAGAGUACCCGGAGAAAAAGCAUCGGCUAACUCCGUGCCAGCAGCCGCGGUAAUACGGAAGGUCCGGGCGUUAUCCGGAUUUAUUGGGUUUAAAGGGAGCGUAGGCCGGCUUUUAAGUCAGCUGUGAAAGUCCGCGGCUCAACCGUGGAAUUGCAGUUGAAACUGGAGGCCUUGAGUGCACACAGGGAUGCCGGAAUUCAUGGUGUAGCGGUGAAAUGCUUAGAUAUCAUGAAGAACUCCGAUCGCGAAGGCAAGUGUCCGGGGUGCAACUGACGCUGAGGCUCGAAAGUGCGGGUAUCAAGCAGGAUUAGAUACCCCAGUACU
rnacentral:rRNA from 1 species